UUUUUUCUAGCCUGGAGGCCUGACCAUUAUCAAAUCAUAAUGGACAUCCUCAAGUCUGCCCCGCCCAGGACCAGCUUGCUAAGAGUUACUCAACAAAAUAAGCACCUUUCCUUCUAUUGGACUGGUAAGAAUGUGAACUGGGCCAAAGAGUGACUCUUUUUCAAAGGUGGAUUGCAGAAGCCAGGCUGUUAUCUCACAAAUUAAUGAAGCAUGAAUGGCUUCCACUGCCUUGAUUUAAUCCCUUAAUAACUGAAAUGGAAGAGUAUGUGGAAGCAGGGGUGAGGUCAUCCAGAAGAGCAGGGCUCCCAAAGGAUUUCAUGGAUACUCAUGAGGAGAGAAAAUGGGCAGCGGUAAAAGGCUAUCAACUUCUUCAAGCUUUGGUUUGUGCUUGAAGCCUCACAGGGCUGUGCAGAGGAUGUCUAUAAAGUACCCUUGGUCUGAAAUGCAGCAGGUGCUCAAUACAAGACUAAAAGGUAUGUGGGGGCCGAAUCUGUGGGUGUGCCUUACAGAAUCAAGGUCAUCAAUCU
rnacentral:lncRNA from 1 species